GUCCUAGGCGGUUCCUGUGGAGCGAGGCCCAGCCCGAGGAGCAGAGUCAGGCCCUGGAUGCGGGGCCUCCCGCGGGGUCCUGGGGCUCGGGUUGGGGCUGCCGGCCUGCUUCACAGCAGAAAAUCAAAAGCAAUCCUCUGUGCCACGCGCCCAACAGCGAUCCCAGCUGCAAACUGGAGGGCAGAUGGGUAUCUGAAACCAGCCGGAUAGACUCGAGGUUAAGGUGGCGAAUUUAGGGACUGAGACCGGCGCAGAUCAGCAUGGCACUGAGGUCCUGGAUAAGGGAGACAGUACCAUCCGCUCAGCAGGUUUUAAAAAGUCAUCACAAAGGAGCGAAUUCCAUAAUGAGCAUCUGAGCCUAAACAUGUGGAAGGACCCCUUCCGCUCCCCGGAGGCCACCAUCGGAAAGAGAGAAGCAUGGAGACGUGGUUCUGCUCCCUCUGGAAGGCUGCACUGGGAGGAGGCCGGGGCGUCGGGUGGACCAGGGCUCCAGAACCCUGGAGUGCUGGGCUCCAGGCUGGGUGUGCAGGCUGCAGACUGGCCCGUCCGUCCCUUCUCAUCUUCGUCUUUCAGUCCCUGUCCUAGGACAAGUGAAAGGACAGAAGGCAACCCCUUGCAGAGGCCGUGGGCCUGGGCCCCCUGCCUCCUUCCCUGUCACACUCGUGGGGGACAGGAGAACAUGGUGGGGCUGUCCCCAGGACCCCAGCCUUCCCCAGGCCCACGUGUGUGGGACAAGGAGGCCUGAUGCAAGCCCACAGCCCAGAGCCCCUGAUCAGAGGGUCCAGAUGGGACUGUGCCUGCUGGCCCUGGCCAUCCCUAGUCCCCUGUGCCAGGGAAGGGCGGUGGGGACCUGGGGGGACAGGAAGGAGGCUGUCUGCUUCUAGGAGGAGCAGAGAGGGGAGGAUUGUGCAGGUGGCUGUGAGCCCCACGCUGAGCCAAGAGCCUGUCCUGCCACCUUGGGCCACUAACAGUAACUAGUGCCUGUGGUUCAUCCUCAACCGAUGCUGUGGCUCCCACAUCUGGGAGAAGUGUGUCCGUGACCUUGGCCCUCAAGGACCCGGGCCGUGGGUCUCAGGCAGGCAGGAAUGGAUGUUCCAGAAGGCCCAGCUUUGGGCUUUCGGUGGGGGUCCAAGUCUGGCCCGGAGCCCGUGUGUCUCAGCUCCCUGGGCUGCCGGCCAGAGAACUGUCCCCUUCCUGUGCGGGUGAGGGCCGGACCGCGCACCUUUGCCAUGUUGUUUAUUUGUUAUUUAUUUACAGUUUAUUUUUUUUUAUCGAGGUGUAAUGGACACACCAUGUUAUAUUAGCUCCAGGCAUAGAACACAGACGCGGCAUUUGUGUGCACUGCAAAGUGACCAUGUGGGGGACAUCGGUCACCACAGGCCCUGUUGUGUGACUUUUCUGGGCCUCAGUUUCCGCCUGUCCCACGGGGGCACUAACUGCCCUCGCCCCAUGGGGCGGUUGUGACAGUCACGAGAGAGAAUGUGAGGAGAGGAUUUCACGCAGAGUAAACGGUAGCUCUGGUUAUUUUUAGCCUCGCCACCAUCCCGGGUCCUCAGAUUCUCUGAUGUCCUCCCACAGGGUGUCAGUUGGACUAGAGUCCCAGGACACACAUUUCCUGGCCCUCCCCGCGGGAGCCGGUCAGUCUGCCCCGUCCCCCUGUGUUGGCAUCAUCUGAGGUCUCCCUGUCCUUUAUUUAGGAUGCUGGCACACCGCACCGGCCUUCUAGAACAUGCCUGUGUCACUGCGGCUGCCACACCUGUGACCUGGAACCCCUCCAGUGCUAGAGAGAGCGGGAACAGGACUCCCCAGGUGGAUCACCUGCUUCCUCGGAAGCUCCCAUCCCCCUACUGCAGGGAGGCACCCCCCCCCCCCCAGGAAGUUGGAGAGACUUUGUAAUCAAGUAUAAUCUACCUACAGGAAAACUACAAGCGCAGCACAAAUAAAUCUUUCCUGGAACCUCA